CAACGCUGGGAAAAGGGGUUUGUGGCAAAAAAGGGCUGCCAAGAAAGUUUUUUGGGGUCCCUUUUGACGCUAAGAAAGCGGCUGGCCUCUGCUGGGAGCCUGCAGCUCGUAGGAGGGCUGCUGAGACGGCGCGGGCGGUGCCAGUAACCACCGGUGGUAGAUCUAAACGAGGCGUUAACGGGCCGACGGUUACUUGCAGAGGAGACCAGCUCCAGUGGCAGGUCACCACGAUUGCGGCAAAGUGCCCAGGUCACUAGACCCAGAGUUGUAACAGCAAACCUUGUAACUGAUCCUGGCAGAAAGCAAGGAGAAGCCCGAAAGUUCAGAGAAACAGACACAGUGCCUUGGCAACACCCUCAAGCUGAAAGCUGACCUGGAAACUGUAAGGUUCUUCAAAGCACAGUUUCUCCCAGGUAUUGAUUCCAUAAAUGAGAAGCACAGCCUCAUGCUUUACAAAUGAAUUGUGUUAAUAGCUAGAACAUCACUUCCCCUGUGAAAUUAUGUGACCUUCCCCUGGAAAAUCUUGCAAAUUUGGACUGUGUGUGUGAGAAAAAGAAAGUGGUGCUAAUUUUCUUGAGAUUCUCCAUAAAAUUCUCUGCUCCUGAGUUCCUAUAGUUCCUCAAGUCCUGUUCCCUAAAGGAGUGUAAAUUUGUAUUCUCUGUACCUAUUUUUAUGUUCCUUCUGCAAUUUUUCUCUAGUCCUUUCUCUGCCUACUACAAUGAGCUUCUUAUAUACAUUGAUAAAAAAGCAACUACCUCUGCAUCUUCAGUUAGCUAGCUUGAGGCAACUUUUUAGAUAACAGGCUUACUGCUCUGCCUCAAAAUACUUAUUCCUAAGUGGGACUGGAGCAUCACUAAAUUUUUUAUGUAGUCUGAAAGACCCAGUGUAGUUGAGUAACUCCAAAGUGGUUUCUCUCAAAUACAAGAGCUUCAGGUACCCAUUGCUCAGCUGCGCUACGCUGUUGUUACUACAAUUCCAGACCAUAACAGCCUGAUCCAUUCCUUGGCUUCUCUGUCCUAGAGUAUAGUUGAAUCGCAUGAUAAUUUCUCAUUUCUUUUGAAAAGAUCUUUGUAUGAGCAGCAAGAGAAUGAUAAUUCUCUAAACCAUGGGUUUUGUAAGUUGUCUGAACCAGUAUUUUGUCAAGUUGCCAGAAGUUUCUUUCUGCUCAUUAAGCCAUGGAUUGUUAUACAGUGUUGAUGUGACUUGCAAAAUCUGUUUUCUAAGUAGAUUUGCUGAGAUUGCUUGUAAAUACACACUGAUAACAGAAUUUUCUAUUAAUAAUAAUAAUACUGAAGUGAUAAUAAUUAUGAGUGAACCUGAACUUGAUUGCUUCCACUUUUCUAUCCACUCCGAUUAAGAAUGGGAGUUAAUUUAAAAUGUAUGUAUUAUUCAGGGCAUGUCUCUUAAGCAUCUGAUGGUAUCAUUAAUAUACAUGUAGAGGGCAAUUUUGGAGACACAUGUUUGAUAUUGAAGGAUUUGGAAUGUGUAGCAAGUAAUGAUUCUUUCUUUUGUGAAAUUGUAAUUAAGUUAUUAAAAAUUCAUCCUUCAAAAUAUGAAAA